CAGUGAAACCUGUUUUAUGCAGCCACCCAAGGGAGUAACAAAAAGUGGCCUCUUAAGACAGGUGGCUGCUUAAUAUAGGUUAUAUUGUACUAAAAUAGCUGAUUUGGGAGAAAAUUAAGGUGACCUUUGAAGACAGCUGGCUGCUUGAUACAGGUGGCUGCUUGAGCAGGUUUGACUGUAGUCAUAAUUAAUGUAUUUUUUAAUUUAUUUAUUUAAUUGGUAUAAUUUAUUUUUUAGUUUUGGUUUCCCACAAAAAAUAAUAAGUGACCAGGGAAGAGAAUUCAACAACAGUGUGGUUGAUGGGAUUACAGAUGCACUGAAGAUUGUACAUCGUCGUACCACUGCAUACCACCCGCAAUGUAACGGAUUAACAGAUAGAUUUAAUCAAACUCUGGAAAACAUGUUGUUAAAGCUUGAUGAUGAUGAUGCUGAAUGGGAUACAUUGCUGCAGCAAGUUGUGUUUGGCUAUAACAAGUCGAAACACGCCAGCACCAAGUUUUCCCCUUUUUUCCUGAUGUACGGAAGGUGAGAAGUUUAUAAUGCAUAUCCAGUGAUUGGGCUAAUGAAAUAAAAUAGUUCCAGUGAUUUACGAGUAAAUGUUGUUAUAAUUAGAUAUUGUACAGCUAUCCUGUGAUUGACGAUUGAAGUGUUGAUGAUAAAAGUGGAAACCAUUUAUAGUUGGAAACAAACAAACACUUUAUUUGCGUAUCAUACAAUUUAUAAUUGAUAAUAAUCAUAUACUAACAAUGUGUUUUAUUAUAUUGAUUAUCGUUAUAACAGAGAACCAGCUUUACCAUCUGAUGUGGUCUGUGAUUCGGACGAUAAUACAGAGCAACUAGUGUCCGAAGAAACAUGCCAGAUUGAAAUAAAUGAAAGGGUUAAAAAAAUGGCAAACGUCAUUGGGAAAAUGGCUGUUGGCAAUAUCAAAGAGGCACCAACUCGCCAAAAAAGAAAUUACGAUCAAAGACAUGCGUCACAACAGGAUUUUGUUAUCGGAACAAAAGUUCUAAAGAAAAACCUGCGGCGGCAAGAUCGCAAAGGGGGAAAAGAGGAGAAGCCUUGGCUAGGCCCUUAUAGAAUUCGGGCGAUCACAAAGAGUAACUGAAACUGACGAGACACGUGACUGAAUACCGCAUGUUGUCCGUGCAUAACUAUUUGAGGUUUGACCACGUGACGUUCAAGCACGUGCAAAACUAUUUGAGGCGUUCAUUACCAAACACGUUGAAAACGCACGCUGGGAAUUACCGUAUUAGAGGAAUUCGAUAUGAAUGAACAAACGGACGACGAUUUAUUUGUAACACAGAACAGUUUUAACAAUUCAACUGUGGAACUAGAUUUGAAUUCCGAAUUUGAUUUUGUGCCUUUUUUGUCCUUUAGAAGACAAUUUUAUAACUAAUUUCGAUUUAGGCAGUUUAAACAGUGAGUUAGCAAGUAAAGCUUGUGACGGUGAAAGCAAUGACAUUAACUUGUCAAACUUAAAUCCAACUAAUUCCGAUGAGGAAGUUUUGCAGGCUACUAAUGCCAUAGAAAGCGAACUGAAAGAUGAAACAUUACGUUUCGGCACACCACUCUCAAAAAGUGAAAUGAAAGGUUUACGUGACUCGGCCUUUUCUACAAAUACUGAAAAUAAGAGCACAUGGGCAGUCAAUCUGUUUAAUAGUUGGAUAAAUGAAAGAAACAACUGCAAUUUAAGAGAUGUACCCAUCAUUAAAAAGGAUCUUAUUUCUUUGGCGGAAGAUGAACAUGAAUUAAAAUACGGUUUUGAUGUGUUUUGUGAUGGAAGUACACAACAUGAAAGGUGCGGAGUAUCGCGGUAAUACACUCUAUGAAAUUGUUUCAUCGCUACAGUACUAUCUGCGUAGAAAUGAGAAGCCAGUUAAUUUUUUUGAUGAAGCAUGUUACACGGGACUAAGGUCUGUACUCGACGCACGCAUGAAAGAAAUUGCAAGGAAAGGCAUUGGUAUCAGUAAACGUCAGGCUCAAAUUAUAUCGGAAGAACAAGAAGAUAUCUUAUGGAGGAAACAGUUUCUUGGCGAAGACACUCCACGACAACUUCUAGAUACACUCGUGUACUUAAUCGGACUGAAUUUUGCGCCAAGGGCGGGAGAUGAAUAUAGGUUUCUACGUGUUGGUUCAGUAUCCCAGUUUGAGCUCUUGGUAGGUUCCAGUGGUGAAAAAUCCUUUAAAUACACAGAAGACAUUUCAAAAACUAAUCAAGGAGGCUUGAAACAUCGGAAAUUGGAGAGGAAAAGUGUUACCGUUAGUGAAAACCAUGACUUCCCUGAGAGAUGUCUUGUCAGGAUAUUUGAAAAAUACAUUUCAUUGAGGCCUAAGAAUGGAACAUGUGAUUCGUUUUAUCUACAACCACUUACAUUUUUAACAUCAGACUGCUGGUAUGCAGAUGUUCCUGUUGGUAUUCAUCCAUUAUGUUCAACCUUUGGAUGACUCUGCAAGGCGGCGGGUUUCACUGGCUACUACACCAACCACUCCCUCCGGGCUACUACUGCGACGAGAUUGUAUGAGUCUGGUAUCGAUGAGCAACUGAUAGCCGAGAGAACGGGACACAAGUCCGUGGCUAUUCGGGCAUACAAGAGAAAAUCAGCAAACAUGGCGUCAACUGUUGACAACAUCAUUCAGAGAAAAUCCCCAAGGAUACUGGACACUAAGGGCAAGGCCUCGGCAACACCUCUGAUUUCCCAUGAUGUCGAAGAGAAAGCUAAACAACGUGACCUUUGUCUAAAACUCGGCGACGGCACUACUUUUUCUAUGAAAUUCUAAUGCUCAAUUAAAGAA